AUUGAACGCUGGCGGCAGGCUUAACACAUGCAAGUCGAGCGGGGGAGGUUGCUUCGGUAACUGACCUAGCGGCGGACGGGUGAGUAAUGCUUAGGAAUCUGCCUAUUAGUGGGGGACAACAUUCCGAAAGGGAUGCUAAUACCGCAUACGCCCUACGGGGGAAAGCAGGGGAUCUUCGGACCUUGCGCUAAUAGAUGAGCCUAAGUCGGAUUAGCUAGUUGGUGGGGUAAAGGCCUACCAAGGCGACGAUCUGUAGCGGGUCUGAGAGGAUGAUCCGACACACUGGGACUGAGACACGGCCCGGACUCCUACGGGAGGCAGCAGUGGGGAACAUUGGACAAUGGGCGGAAGCCUGAUCCAGCCAUGCCGCGUGUGUGAAGAAGGCCUUUUGGUUGUAAAGCACUUUAAGCGAGGAGGAGGCUCUUAAGGUUAAUACCCUUGAUGAGUGGACGUUACUCGCAGAAUAAGCACCGGCUAACUCUGUGCCAGCCGCCGCAGUAAAAC
rnacentral:rRNA from 1 species